CGGCCGGCGUAUCGCAUUGGUUGGGUGAGGUGGCCUCAGACGCCAGCCGGGCUGGAUUUGUUCGGGCUGGAUGUGGGCCGG
rnacentral:tRNA from 1 species